GUGCCAGCAGCCGCGGUAAUACGUAGGGGGCAAGCGUUGUCCGGAAUCACUGGGCGUAAAGCGCGCGCAGGCGGUCUUUCACGUCCGGGGUGAAAGCCCAGAGCUCAACUCUGGGAUUGCCUUGGAUACGGGGAGACUUGAGGAUCGGAGAGGCAAGGGGAAUUCCACGUGUAGCGGUGAAAUGCGUAGAGAUGUGGAGGAACACCUGUGGCGAAGGCGCCUUGCUGGCCGAUUUCUGACGCUGAGGCGCGAAAGCGUGGGGAGCAAACAGGAUUAGAAACCCGCGUAGUCC
rnacentral:rRNA from 1 species